UACGAAGGGGGCUAGCGUUGUUCGGAAUCACUGGGCGUAAAGCGCGCGUAGGCGGAUCGUUAAGUCAGGGGUGAAAUCCCGAGGCUCAACCUCGGAACUGCCUUUGAUACUGGCGAUCUGGAGUCCGGGAGAGGUGAGUGGAACUCCUAGUGUAGAGGUGAAAUUCGUAGAUAUUGGGUGGAACACCGGUGGCGAAAGCGGCUCUCUGGUCCGGACCUGACGCUGAGGCGCGAAAGCGUGG
rnacentral:rRNA from 1 species